GGUGGCUCAGUGGUAGAACGCUUGCCUCACAUGCAUGAGGACCUGAGUUCGAUUCCUCAGCACCA
rnacentral:tRNA from 1 species